AGGGCUUUGUGUUGUGUUUACGUCUUGCUACAGGAACGGUCGAGGCUGUACUGGUGUGUCUCUUAUUCUUAAAAAAAAAAACAGGAGACGGAGACUGCCGGUAUUAAAUUCAUCCCAUCUUCUGUGUUUCUGUGAGUGCACCCAGGUGAAAGGCACUCCUCCAGAAAAACAGUUCAUCGAGGGUUCAUGGAGGACAUUGUGAGCUGCUAAAGAUGUGUGUUUAAGUGCUCUUACCCAUACUGCUUCUUCCUGCAACAAGGCAGCACCCAGGAAAAGAUAUUUGAGCUCAUGCAGUCCUCCCAGAUGAACCUGGAAGGAGAUGAUGGUGGUGGAGGAUCUGGUCCAGCAGAAGAAGCAGGACUUCCUGGCAUCAGUGGCUCGUGGCUCCCAUCGACUCCCCCUGAGCCUCCCCGCAGGAAACGGGGAGUCAUCACUCCGUAGUGGAAGCAGGAGAUCAAAAGGAGAGACUGUCACAGGAUUAUGCUGUCAUCCAGUACCGUCGUAGACACAGGCCUCAGCGCGGAUGAGAUAUGCUGAGUCUGCAAAAUCUUAGAAGCAGCAGCAACACAUCAGAGACCAGCAGGACAUCUGGCAAAUAUUUGAAUGCAUGAAAAGCUUUAUUACAAAAAGAAAUG